GAUGAAUAACGUAGCGAAAUGCGAUAAGUAAUGUGAAUUGCAGAAUUCAGUGAAUCAUCGAAUCUUUGAACGCACAUUGCGCCCGCCAGUAUUCUGGCGGGCAUGCCUGUCCGAGCGUCAUUUCAACCCUCGAACCCCUCCGGGGGGUCGGCGUUGGGGAUCGGCACUUACCUGCCGGCCCCGAAAUACAGUGGCGGUCUCGCCGCAGCCUCUCCUGCGCAGUAGUUUGCACACUCGCACCGGGAGCGCGGCGCGUCCACGGCCGUAAAACAACCCAAACUUCUGAAAUGUUGACCUCGGAUCAGGUAGGAAUACCCGCUGAACUUAAGCAUAUCAAUAAGCGGAGGA
rnacentral:misc_RNA from 1 species